GCAUUAAUGGGGUAGUGGUAACCUGGGUCGUUGCCAUCCGAGUGAAAACUCGACCCGCCGGGGGUUCGAUUCCCUCUUAAUGCA